UACAGAGGGUGCAAGCGUUGUUCGGAAUUAUUGGGCGUAAAGCGCGUGUAGGCGGCGAUUUAAGUCGGGUGUGAAAGCCCUCAGCUCAACUGAGGAAGUGCGCCCGAGACUGAAUGGCUUGAGUGCCGAAGAGGGUGGCGGAAUUCCCCAAGUAGAGGUGAAAUUCGUAGAGAUGGGGAGGAACACCGGAGGCGAAGGCGGCCACCUGGGAGGUAACUGACGCUGAGACGCGAAAGCGUGGGGAGCGAACAGG
rnacentral:rRNA from 1 species